rnacentral:rRNA from 1 species
GACGAACGCUGGCGGCGUGCUUAACACAUGCAAGUCGAACGGAAAGGCCCCUUUGGGGGUACUCGAGUGGCGAACGGGUGAGUAACACGUGAGUAACCUGCCCUUGACUUCGGGAUAACUUCAGGAAACUGGGGCUAAUACCGGAUAGGAAUCCUUGCUGCAUGGUGGGGGUUGGAAAGCUUCGGCGGUUUUGGAUGGACUCGCGGCUUAUCAGCUUGUUGGUUGGGUAGUGGCUUACCAAGGCUUUGACGGGUAGCCGGCCUGAGAGGGCGACCGGCCACAUUGGGACUGAGAGACGGCCAAGACUCCUACGGGAGGCAGCAGUGGGGAAUAUUGCACAAUGGGCGGAAGCCUGAUGCAGAAACGCCGCGUGCGGGAUGACGGCCUUCGGGUUGUAAACCGCUUUCAGCAGGGGCGAAGCUUGUGGUGACGGUACCUGCAGAAGAAGCACCGGCUAACUACGUG